rnacentral:rRNA from 1 species
UCGGGAAUAUUGCGCAAUGGAGGAAACUCUGACGCAGUGACGCCGCGUGCAGGAAGAAGGUUUUCGGAUUGUAAACUGCUUUAGACAGGGAAGAAAAAAGACAGUACCUGUAGAAUAAGCUCCGGCUAACUACGUGCCAGCAGCCGCGGUAAUACGUAGGGAGCGAGCGUUAUCCGGAUUUAUUGGGUGUAAAGGGUGCGUAGACGGGAAAUUAAGUUAGUUGUGAAAUCCCACGGCUCAACUGUGGAACUGCAACUAAAACUGAUUUUCUUGAGUACUGGAGAGGAAAGUGGAAUUCCUAGUGUAGCGGUGAAAUGCGUAGAUAUUAGGAGGAACACCAGUGGC